rnacentral:rRNA from 12 species
ACGGGUGAGUAACGCGUGGGAAUCUACCCAUCUCUACGGAAUAACUCAGGGAAACUUGUGCUAAUACCGUAUACGCCCUUCGGGGGAAAGAUUUAUCGGAGAUGGAUGAGCCCGCGUUGGAUUAGCUAGUUGGUGGGGUAAUGGCCUACCAAGGCGACGAUCCAUAGCUGGUCUGAGAGGAUGAUCAGCCACACUGGGACUGAGACACGGCCCAGACUCCUACGGGAGGCAGCAGUGGGGAAUAUUGGACAAUGGGCGCAAGCCUGAUCCAGCCAUGCCGCGUGAGUGAUGAAGGCCCUAGGGUUGUAAAGCUCUUUCAACGGUGAAGAUAAUGACGGUAACCGUAGAAGAAGCCCCGGCUAACUUCGUGCCAGCAGCCGCGGUAAUACGAAGGGGGCUAGCGUUGUUCGGAUUUACUGGGCGUAAAGCGCACGUAGGCGGAUAUUUAAGUUAGGGGUGAAAUCCCAGAGCUCAACUCUGGAACUGCCUCUAAUACUGGGUAUCUAGAGUUCGAGAGAGGUGAGUGGAAUUCCGAGUGUAGAGGUGAAAUUCGUAGA